UACAGAGGUCCCAAGCGUUGUUCGGAUUCAUUGGGCGUAAAGCGCACGUAGGCGGUUCGUUAUGUCGGAUGUGAAAGCCCUUGGCUUAACCGAGGAAGUGCAUCCGAAACUGGCGAGCUAGAGUACGAAAGAGGAUCGCGGAAUUCCCGGUGUAGAGGUGAAAUUCGUAGAUAUCGGGAGGAACACCGGUGGCGAAGGCGGCGAUCUGGGUCGAUACUGACGCUGAGGUGCGAAAGCUAGGGGAGCAAACAGG
rnacentral:rRNA from 1 species